GCUCUGAGAACACUUCUGAGAGCCUACUAAAAUUGGAACGGUACAGAGAAGAGUAGCAUGUGUGACAUUUUUGUGACAUAUUUCAUAUUUUU
rnacentral:snRNA from 1 species